rnacentral:lncRNA from 1 species
GAAUUCUGUGUGCGUGCUGCCUCUCUGCAGGUUAUAGUGUGGUUUUGUUGGGUCUUGGGUGUUUUAAACCUGGAAUAAUUGUCAGAUGGGCGAUCUCUCUUGAUAAGAGAUACCUCUGGGUGAUUCACUUGGCUUCUGCUUCUCAAGGAACUCUAAAGGGAAUAAAAUAACCCUAAAGUAUGGAUUAUCUCUGCUGUUGGAGUUUUGAAAUCUCAGGACCCAAGAUGGAACAUGGGGCAAAAACUGAUGCUGUGCUCCAGAAAUCUGAACUUAAGUCCAAGUGCCAGCAUGGACUUUUACCUCUAUGGGACUUAAUGAACUUGUCAGGAAAGCUAAGCUGCUGGCUGUUGCUUCAGCUGACCUUCUCGACAUCUCAGAGGACUGUCUUGGAAACACCGGGUUUGGAAAGCUUUGAGUAAAAGUUGCUGGUCUUCACUCUGCUCCUCAGGUGAGAUACAGAAGCAUGAUAUGAAAGCAAAAUUCAUAGUGUUGUGGGAAGUGAGUGCAACCAGGAACUGGCCUUUUGCAGUAAUGAAACUCAGAAUCACAAACUGGAUUCUGAGAAACUGUAGUGCUCAGCCACAGGAGUGACCAUGCAUAAAAUUGAAGAACUUUGAAAAGUAGAUACACAGUUAUACUGGAGAGAAAACCACUACUUCCACUACUGAAAACAAAAAUUCCAGGCAACCCUCCUCCUCUACUUCCCGUCUAGAAUUGACUUUUAGUUUGUAAUUUUUGUGUCCC